CAGUAAGUAGUUUAAUUUAAAAAUGUUAAUUUUGGAGAUUAAUGAUAAGCUUAGCUUUUUACUGA
rnacentral:tRNA from 2 species